CUCCCCGCCGACCGCCGAGCGCCCUUCUGGCGGGCUGGGAGCCGUUGCUACCGCCAGAGCGCCUCGAGGCUCCGCCCACCUCGUGCUCCCGCACCCGUCGCGCGGUGCUCCAGGACAUUUUUGCUGAACAUGGAAUUCAGAGUUGGCAAUUCUUUUCUUUCAUCAUUUGAAAAAUGUACCACUUCCUUCCAGCCUUUAUGAUUUCAGAUGAGAAAUUCACUAUCAUCUGAAUCAGUGUUCCUCUACAGAUUGAAUUCUUCUAAAUCUGAAAUUUCGAAAGGGAUUAAGAAAGUGUCUGAUUCCAGAGAAUGCUCAACUUCAGAGACUAACCAUCAUUUUCCAUAUUACAAGUAAACUGC